GACGAACGCUGGCGGCGUGCUUAACACAUGCAAGUCGAACGGAAAGGCACUGCUUUUGUGGGGUGAUCGAGUGGCGAACGGGUGCGUAACACGUGAGUAACCUGCUCUUGACUUUGGGAUAACUUCAGGAAACUGGGGCUAAUACCGGAUAGGAGCUCCCGCUGCAUGGUGGGGGUUGGAACGUUUCGGCGGUCGGGGAUGGACUCGCGGCUUAUCAGCUUGUUGGUGGGGUAGUGGCUUACCCACGCUUUGACGGGUAGGCGGCCUGAGAGGGUGACCGGCCACAUUGGGACUGAGAGACGGCCCAGACUCCUACGGGAGGCAGCAGUGGGGAAUAUGGCACAAUGGGCGGAAGCCUGAUGCAGCAGCGCCGCGGGCGGGAUGACGGCCUUCUGGUUGUAAACCGCUUUCGCCUGUGACGAAGCGUGAGUGACGGUAAUGGGUAAAGAAGCACCGGCUAACUACGUG
rnacentral:rRNA from 1 species